rnacentral:lncRNA from 1 species
CUUCUAACGUAUAUCUUUCUGCACAUGUCUCUCGCAUGUCGUCUCUUUUGGCAUCCCCUUUCCUCACUUAUUGUUGCCGUUGCAUUCAUUUCCUAACAUGUCUACCUGUCCUUCUCACCUUAGGGUGCUCAGGGUGACCUUGGACAGACGGGUAUAUCAGGAGAGAGUGGGCUGGCAGGGCUUCCAGGUCCCAUGGGACCCGUUGGACCUGCCGGACCCCCUGGGCCACCGGGGCCUUCGUACCGCGGGGGUUAUGGUAACCAGGGUGAUUACGAGGUGAACAACGGCUCACCUGGACUCAACGGCCCACCUGGACCUCAGGUAGCCGAUCGCACACACACAGGAAGUGAAACCUUCUCUUUACAGUCGAUGCCCUGCUUCAUGUUUCCAUGUUUUCUGUCUUCCAGGGUCCACCUGGUA